GUUCACCCCAGCACGUUCUGCUCCAUCAGGACCCGAGCAACUUCAACCUGUCACUGAAAAUCCGGAUCCGCACCCCUUUUUCUCCUCUGCACCUGUAAAAUAAAGCACUGUUUAUUUAUUUUGAA